GUCCCUGUAGCUCAAUAGAAAGUGCGUUGGAUUUCUAAUCCAAAGGUCGUGGGUUCGAAUCCCACCUGGGAUA